rnacentral:rRNA from 1 species
GUGUCAGCAGCCGCGGUAAUACAGAGGGUGCAAACGUUGUUCGGAAUUACUGGGCGUAAAGCGCGUGUAGGCGGCUUGGCAGGUCGGAUGUGAAAUCCCAGGGCUCAACCCUGGAAGGGCAUUCGAAACCGCUUCGCUAGAGUUCUGGAGAGGAAGGUGGAAUGCUUGGUGUAGAGGUGAAAUUCGUAGAUAUCAAGCGGAACACCGGUGGCGAAGGCGGCCUUCUGGACAGAAACUGACGCUGAGACGCGAAAGCGUGGGGAGCAAACAGGAUUAGAUACCCUUGUAGUCC